AGAGCUUGCUCUCGGGUGACGAGCGGCGGACGGGUGAGUAAUGUCUGGGAAACUGCCUGAUGGAGGGGGAUAACUACUGGAAACGGUAGCUAAUACCGCAUAACGUCGCAAGACCAAAGUGGGGGACCUUCGGGCCUCAUGCCAUCAGAUGUGCCCAGAUGGGAUUAGCUGGUAGGUGGGGUAACGGCUCACCUAGGCGACGAUCCCUAGCUGGUCUGAGAGGAUGACCAGCCACACUGGAACUGAGACACGGUCCAGACUCCUACGGGAGGCAGCAGUGGGGAAUAUUGCACAAUGGGCGCAAGCCUGAUGCAGCCAUGCCGCGUGUGUGAAGAAGGCCUUCGGGUUGUAAAGCACUUUCAGCGGGGAGGAAGGCGGUGAGGUUAAUAACCUCAUCGAUUGACGUUACCCGCAGAAGAAGCACCGGCUAACUCCGUGCCAGCAGCCGCGGUAAUACGGAGGGUGCAAGCGUUAAUCGGAAUUACUGGGCGUAAAGCGCACGCAGGCGGUCUGUCAAGUCGGAUGUGAAAUCCCCGGGCUCAACCCUGGGAACUGCAUUCGAAACUGGCAGGCUAGAGUCUUGUAGAGGGGGGGUAGAAUUCCAGGUGUAGCGGUGAAAUGCGUAGAGAUCUGGAGGAAUACCGGUGGCGAAGGCGGCCCCCUGGACAAAGACUGACGCUCAGGUGCGAAAGCGUGGGGAGCAAACAGGAUUAGAUACCCUGGUAGUCCACGCUGUAAACGAUGUCGAUUUGGAGGUUGUGCCCUUGAGGCGUGGCUUCCGGAGCUAACGCGUUAAAUCGACCGCCUGGGGAGUACGGCCGCAAGGUUAAAACUCAAAUGAAUUGACGGGGGCCCGCACAAGCGGUGGAGCAUGUGGUUUAAUUCGAUGCAACGCGAAGAACCUUACCUGGUCUUGACAUCCACAGAACUUUCCAGAGAUGGAUUGGUGCCUUCGGGAACUGUGAGACAGGUGCUGCAUGGCUGUCGUCAGCUCGUGUUGUGAAAUGUUGGGUUAAGUCCCGCAACGAGCGCAACCCUUAUCCUUUGUUGCCAGCGGUUAGGCCGGGAACUCAAAGGAGACUGCCAGUGAUAAACUGGAGGAAGGUGGGGAUGACGUCAAGUCAUCAUGGCCCUUACGACCAGGGCUACACACGUGCUACAAUGGCAUAUACAAAGAGAAGCGACCUCGCGAGAGCAAGCGGACCUCAUAAAGUAUGUCGUAGUCCGGAUUGGAGUCUGCAACUCGACUCCAUGAAGUCGGAAUCGCUAGUAAUCGUAGAUCAGAAUGCUACGGUGAAUACGUUCCCGGGCCUUGUACACACCGCCCGUCACACCAUGGGAGUGGGUUGCAAAAGAAGUAGGUAGCUUAACCUUCGGGAGGGCGCUUACCACUUUGUGA
rnacentral:rRNA from 1 species